UAAUAUCACAGGUAGGAUGAUUCAUAAUUUAGAACUACUAACUCAUGUAUGUAUUAAAAAUUAAAGAAAUAUAUUAAAUUUUAUAGGAUAUUUAUGUUUAGUAACCAGUAAUUCAGAGAUUGGUAUUCAUGGUUACUAUAACGAGGCUGUAGAAACGCACCCUUUCUUCUUUGCAAAUGGCCCUGUAUUUAUGUCUAAGCCGAAACUGGAACCUCUGAAUAAUUUAGAUUUAUUCUUGUUAUUUUCUAAAAUACUUAUCUACAGUAUACCAUAAGGAAUGAUACCGUAUCGCACCUAAUCAAGUGCCUUAAGAAACAUCAACAGGAUAUCACAGUAAUCCCUUAUCGACUGAUAUUUGUAGCCACUACAAUAUCUAUGACACUGGUAGUAAUUAUAAGAACAAUAAUGAUGUUCUAUAAGAGGAAAUGAUGAUUAGGAACAAAAACUUACAGGAGAUAUCAUGCGGUGGAUGGAUAAUAUGUAAAAAAUAUUAAGCAGUAUAUGAAUUUUCAUAUUGCGUAGAGAUAACAAAAUGAAUUUUAAAAAAUGUCGACAUGGUAAUAAGAAAUAGCAUCAUGACAAAGAAUA